GUGACUAGUGACAGAGUGAGAGAGAGGGUGACUAGUGACAGAGUGAGAGAGAGGGUGACUAGUGACAGAGUGAGGGAGGGGGUGACUAGUGACAGAGUGGAGGUGGUGACUGUCACUAGUCACCCCCUCCCCUCCCUCACUCUGUCACUAGUCACCCCCUCCCUCUCUCUGUCACUAGUGACACCCUCCCUCACUCUGUCACUAGUCACACCCUUCCUGUCACUAGUCACCCCCUCUCUCACUA